CAUUUAUCCCCGAGGGGAAAUUCUGUUAGUCUGCUCUUCUGUAAAUUAUUGAAGAAUUAGACAGCCUGAUGCAUUUAAGAGCGAAGGAUUUUUGACCUAGAUUAGUUAGAAAAGUUAUCUUCUUUGUAGCAUGCAUGUUUUUUCCGCAUUAAACUUAUUGCACACUGAACGUGGAAGAAGACUUCACAUCUUGGAAAACAGGACCAUCUAAGGAGUACAUGAAUGUGUUGUUGAAUACUGAAAAAGUAGUUUCAAUUGCACAUGCAUGGUUGUGUAGAUGUUGCUUCGCCUCAGAUUGUGUCUGAUAUUGUUUUUACAUUUGACACUUUUACCCUGAUAAUUAUUAUUUAAAGGAAUAUGUAUAAUAAUUUAUAUAGAUCACAUUAUUUCCUAUAAUUGUUCAUUUUCCUAUACGAUAAAUACUGACAUUUUUGUUGAGUUGUAAAAAGCAACCGAGGAGGUAAUAUGUCACUUCCGGCUGCCAUCUUGGAUCAGAAUGUGGAAAACGGCUUCUUCUUCACCUUGCAGCUGAGGAUAACGCCAGAGUAAUUUAUAACUUUAAGUAAUCUGGAAAUCUCUUCAAAACAGCGGGUCUGAUGCUGAAACUGUGGAUUUGUACUCACCACCAGAUGGGAUAGCCUCCAAGCACCCGAGAGCUGGACAACCACACACACAUCAAAUAUCCAAUCAGAUACAAAUCCAUGAGGAGGCUGUGGUCUUUCUGCUCAGGACCUCCAGGGCGUCAGUGAGCUCCGUGGAC